rnacentral:rRNA from 1 species
UACGUAGGGGGCAAGCGUUGUCCGGAUUUAUUGGGCGUAAAGAGCGUGUAGGCGGCCAGACAGGUCAGCUGUGAAAACUCGAGGCUCAACCUCGAGACGUCGGUUGAAACCGUCUGGCUAGAGUCCGGAAGAGGAGAGUGGAAUUCCCGGUGUAGCGGUGAAAUGCGCAGAUAUCGGGAGGAACACCAAUUGCGAAGGCAGCUCGCUGGGACGUUACUGACGCUGAGACGCGAAAGCGUGGGGAGCAAACAGG